rnacentral:lncRNA from 1 species
AUCAGCAAGCGAGGGGGAAAGACCGGACCGCUACGAUCCACCCCCUCCCUGCCCCCACCGCCCAUCCUAAAGCACCUUAUAUCGCGGAAACCACUCAGCCUCCUCUUUCCUCCGAGAACACGCGGAGCAGCCCCUCAAAACGCUUUGGUCCUCUGCAGGGGGAGCGCUCUGGGGUCUCCGCACAAAACCUGCUUUUGAGCCCUUUGGCUUUCUUCAGGCGAGCGCAGUCCGUCCAUCCCCCUGGCCCACCCAGCCGCAAGGGAUGCUGUGAAAAGAGCCGCUGCUUGCCGCCUCCGGCCUGCCGUCCAGAGGGCUCCGCCCGUAGAGGCUUAUAUGGAGUAAAAUAAUGUAUAAUGCUGUAUGACCUCAGCACCGUGAAUUUGGAAGUUCCAGCAUGUUGUGAAGCAGACACAUCUUUGCUAUGGACACUGUGACUCACUACAUCAGUGCUGGUAGAAUAAAAUGCUUCUAAUGAUGUAGCCGUUAAAUUUUCUAAAAUAAAGAUCAGUUUAUUUUGUGAUGGCA